CCUCCUAAUCCACUGUAUUCUGAACUUCUGCCUCUAGAAGAUCUCCUACUGCCUGAAAAGGGAGUGGCAGUCUGACAGCAAGCCUCGAAGAUUAGCCAACUCCCUCUCUGCAAGUCCACCCACUGAUUCUCAUGAUCCUGAAGCUCAAAGAUGGAAGCCUUAAUGGUCUCAAUCCUCCUAGAGAUGUCACCUACCUCAGCUCCGUUCCACCUUAGUAGCCUCCUCUUCAUUAGCUCCAACUUUUGGAUGACCCUCUACUUGGCAUCACCAU
rnacentral:lncRNA from 1 species